rnacentral:rRNA from 1 species
GAGGUUACUGCUAUCGGUGUUCGACUAAGCCAUGCGAGUCAAAUGUUCUUCGUGAACAUGGCGGACUGCUCAGUAACACGUGGAUAACCUGCCCUUAGGUUCGGCAUAACUCCGGGAAACUGGAGAUAAUUCCGAAUAGGUCAAAUAUGCUGGAAUGCUUUUUGGCCAAAAGACUUCGGUUGCCUAAGGAUGGAUCUGCGGUCUAUCAGGUUGUAGUGGGUGUAACGUACCUACUAGCCUACGACGGAUAUGGGUUGUGAGAGCAAGAGCCCAGAGAUGGAUUCUGAGACAUGAAUCCAGGCCCUACGGGGCGCAGCCGCCGCGGUGGUAAUCACUUUUAUUGGGUCUAAAGGGUCCGUAGCCGGUUUGAUCAGUUCUUCGGGAAAUCUGACAGCUCAACUGUUAGGCUUCCGGGGAAUACUGUCAGACUUGGGACUGGGAGAGGUAAGAGGUACUACAGGGGUAGGAGUGAAAUCUUGUAAUCCCUGUGGGACCACCAGUGGCGAAGGCGUCUUACCAGAACAGGUCCGACGGUGAGGGACGAAAGCUGGGGGCACGAACCGGAUUAGAUACCCGGGUAGUCCCAGCCGUAAACGAUGUUCGCUAGGUGUCAGGGGCGGUGCGACCGCUUCUGGUGCCGUAGGGAAGCCGUGAAGCGAACCACCUGGGAAGUACGGCCGCAAGGCUGAAACUUAAAGGAAUUGGCGGGGGAGCACUACAACGUGUGGAGCCUGCGGUUUAAUUGGACCCAACGCCGGAAAACUCACCGGGGGCGACAGCAAGAUGUAGGUCAAGCUAAAGACUUUACCUGAAUCGCUGAGAGGAGGUGCAUGGCCGUCGUCAGUUCGUACUGUGAAGCAUCCUGUUAAGUCAGGCAACGAGCGAGACCCGUGCCCACUGUUGCCAGCAUGUCCUUCGGGAUGAUGGGUACUCUGUGGGGACCGCUGGUGCUAAACCAGAGGAAGGUGCGGGCUACGGUAGGUCAGUAUGCCCCGAAUCUCCCGGGCUACACGCGGGCUACAAUGGUUGGGACAAUGGGUCCCUACACCGAAAGGUGAUGGUAAUCUCUUAAACCCAACCGUAGUUCGAAUCGAGGACUGUAACUCGUCCUCGUGAAGCUGGAAUCCGUAGUAAUCGCGUUUCAACAUAGCGCGGUGAAUACGUCCCUGCUCCUUGCACACACCGCCCGUCAAACCACCCGAGUGAGGUAUGGGUGAGGGCACGGACUUAGUGCCGUGUUCGAACCUAAAUUUCGCAAGGGGGGUUAAGUCGUAACAAGGUA